rnacentral:rRNA from 1 species
UACGUAGGGCGCGAGCGUUGUCCGGAAUUAUUGGGCGUAAAGAGCUCGUAGGCGGCUUGUCGCGUCGGUUGUGAAAGCCCGGGGCUUAACUCCGGGUCUGCAGUCGAUACGGGCAGGCUAGAGUUCGGUAGGGGGAGAUCGGAAUUCCUGGUGUAGCGGUGAAAUGCGCAGAUAUCAGGAGGAACACCGGUGGCGAAGGCGGAUCUCUGGGCCGGUACUGACGCUGAGGAGCGAAAGCGUGGGGAGCGAACAGG